GAUGAAGAACGUAGCGAAACGCGAUAUGUAAUGUGAAUUGCAGAAUUCAGUGAAUCAUCGAAUCUUUGAACGCACAUUGCGCCCCUUGGUAUUCCAUGGGGCAUGCCUGUUCGAGCGUCAUUUGUACCUUCAAGCUCUGCUUGGUGUUGGGUGUUUGUCUCGCCUCUGCGUGUAGACUCGCCUCAAAACAAUUGGCAGCCGGCGUAUUGAUUUCGGAGCGCAGUACAUCUCGCGCUUUGCACUCAUAACGACGACGUCCAAAAGUACAUUUUUACACUCUUGACCUCGGAUCAGGUAGGGAUACCCGCUGAACUUAAGCAUAUCAAUAAGCGGAGGA
rnacentral:misc_RNA from 1 species